rnacentral:rRNA from 1 species
UACGUAGGGUGCAAGCGUUAAUCGGAAUUACUGGGCGUAAAGCGUGCGCAGGCGGUUAUGUAAGACAGUUGUGAAAUCCCCGGGCUCAACCUGGGAACUGCAUCUGUGACUGCAUAGCUAGAGUACGGUAGAGGGGGAUGGAAUUCCGCGUGUAGCAGUGAAAUGUGUAGAUAUGCGGAGGAACACCGAUGGCGAAGGCAAUCCCCUGGACCUGUACUGACGCUCAUGCACGAAAGCGUGGGGAGCAAACAGG